rnacentral:rRNA from 1 species
UACGGAAGGCAGCAGUGGGGAAUAUUGCACAAUGGGCGAAAGCCUGAUGCAGCUAUGCCGCGUGUAUGAAGAAGGCCUUAGGGUUGUAAAGUACUUUCAUCGGGGAGGAAAAACAAAACUAAUAAUUUUAUUUCUUGACGUUACCCGAAAAAGAAGCACCGGCUAACUCCGUGCCAGCAGCCGCGGUAAUACGGAGGGUGCUAGCGUUAAUCAGAAUUACUGGGCGUAAAGAGCACGUAGGUGGUUUUUUUAAAGUCAGAUGUGAAAUCCCUGGGCUUAACCUAGGAACUGCAUUUUGAAACUGAAAUACUAGAGUAUCGUAGAGGGAGGUAGAAUUCUAGGUAUAGCGGUGAAAUGCGUAGAUAUCUGGAGGAAUACCUGUGGCGAAAGCGGCCUCCUAAACGAAUACUGACACUGAGGUGCGAAAGCGUGGGGAGCAAACAGGGAUUAGAUACC